AUCUGUUGAUUUCAUUGGUUAAGUAAUAAACACACUGCUUGGCCUCAUAGGUUAAAGCACUGGGGGGAGGAGUAAACAGAAUAGAAUUCUGGGCGGAAGAGGAAGUGAGGUCAGACUCUGCCCUGCUUCCAGAGGGACCGGACAGACGCCAUGCUCAGCUCUCCCGGGUAGACGCGAUAGCUCUGCUCUCUGAGGCACACGCGAUGAAGAUGGAUGUAGGCUAGAAUCUUCCCGGAUGGACAUCUUCAGAUGGAAGAAGACCACGUCCAGGUCCUCAGUUCGGUGUGUUGAGCGUUGGAAUGCCAGAGCAGGAAAGCUGGGAAGAGAAUCUUCAGUUUUCCACUUUUCUUGGCAUCUAGGUUGUACUCCAGUUAGGAGUCUCCCCUGCAAAGUGCACCCCCCACAGGCCGUACCUGAUCCGCUUCUACAGUGUGAGUUCCCUCUGAGCCUGACAGUACAGUGACCACGCUGCAGAGGAGGCCUGGUCCUCACAGUGUGUAGAGGAUCCAGAACAAGAAAUACCAAGCUAGCACGUGGUCUGGAUUUCUCAGAUGUCACAUGAAGAAACACGUGCCCACCUGAGAAAAAUAUGGACGCUCUCUGUCCGUGACGGAAGUCUUGCACAACUCACUGCUGCCUCCCCCACCUCCUUCUCUGGAGAGAAGAGGGAAGGAUGGGUGUCUAAGGGACUGACGGUUGGACAGAGCUGGUCCUAGCUCCAGUUCCUCCACGCUACCCUUGGCUUGCCCUGCACCUGCCCUCCUACCUAGAUGGGACUCCGCCAGGUGGUGCAGAACUUGGCCCCAGGCGGGUUGGGUUCUGAGCUAAUCCUGCACCCUACUACAUCUCAGCCAAGGGCUGAGUCACACCCUCGUUCUCUUUUAAUUAUUCAGGACCUGACACACUGCCUGGGAAUACAUCACUCAGAGUACAUGGUGGUGAAGAUUAAAUAUUAGAGGCAAG